GACAGAGGCCCCAAGCGUUAGGCGGAAUCACUGGGCUUAAAGCGUGUGUAGGCGGAUCGUUAAGUGUCUUGUGAAAUCCCACGGCUCACCCGUGGAACUGCUGGGCAUACUGGCGAUCUUGGGCCAACUAGGGGCAGCCGGAACAAGCGGUGGAGCGGUGAAAUGCGUAGAUAUCGCUUGGAACGCCGAAGGUGAAAACAGGCUGCUGGGAGUGUGCUGACGCUGAGACACGAAAGCCAGGGGAGCAAACGGG
rnacentral:rRNA from 1 species